GCCAACAACGGGUACGGGUUGUGAGAGCAAGAGCCCGGAGAUGGAUUCUGAGACAUGAAUCCAGGCCCUACGGGGCGCAGCAGGCGCGAAAACUUUACAAUGCGGGAAACCGUGAUAAGGGGACACCGAGUGCCAGCGUCAUACGCUGGCUGUCCAGGUGUGUAAAAUACACCUGUUAGCAAGGGCCGGGCAAGACCGGUGCCAGCCGCCGCGGUAACACCGGCGGCCCGAGUGGUGAUCGUGAUUAUUGGGUCUAAAGGGUCCGUAGCCGGUUUGGUCAGUCCUCCGGGAAAUCUGAUAGCUCAACUAUUAGGCUUUCGGGGGAUACUGCCAGGCUUGGAACCGGGAGAGGUAAGAGGUACUACAGGGGUAGGAGUGAAAUCUUGUAAUCCCUGUGGGACCACCUGUGGCGAAGGCGUCUUACCAGAACGGGUUCGACGGUGAGGGACGAGAGCUGGGGGCACGAACCGGAUUAGAUACCCGGGUAGUCCCAGCCGUAAACGAUGCUCGCUAGGUGUCAGGCAUGGCGCGACCGUGUCUGGUGCCG
rnacentral:rRNA from 1 species